rnacentral:rRNA from 1 species
AUUGAACGCUGGCGGCAUGCCUUACACAUGCAAGUCGAACGGCAGCACGGGUGCUUGCACCUGGUGGCGAGUGGCGAACGGGUGAGUAAUACAUCGGAACAUGUCCUGUAGUGGGGGAUAGCCCGGCGAAAGCCGGAUUAAUACCGCAUACGAUCUACGGAUGAAAGCGGGGGACCUUCGGGCCUCGCGCUAUAGGGUUGGCCGAUAGCUGAUUAGCUAGUUGGUGGGGUAAAGGCCUACCAAGGCGACGAUCAGUAGCUGGUCUGAGAGGACGACCAGCCACACUGGGACUGAGACACGGCCCAGACUCCUACGGGAGGCAGCAGUGGGGAAUUUUGGACAAUGGGCGAAAGCCUGAUCCAGCAAUGCCGCGUGUGUGAAGAAGGCCUUCGGGUUGUAAAGCACUUUUGUCCGGAAAGAAAUCCUUGGCUCUAAUACAGUGGGGGGAUGACGGUACCGGAAGAAUAAGCACCGGCUAACUACGUG